rnacentral:rRNA from 1 species
GACGAACGCUGGCGGCGUGCCUAAUACAUGCAAGUCGAACGCACAGUUUAUACCGUAGCUUGCUACACCAUAAACUGUGAGUUGCGAACGGGUGAGUAACGCGUAGGUAACCUGCCUGGUAGCGGGGGAUAACUAUUGGAAACGAUAGCUAAUACCGCAUAAUAUUAAUUAUUGCAUGUUAAUUGAUUGAAAGAUGCAAUUGCAUCACUACCAGAUGGACCUGCGUUGUAUUAGCUAGUAGGUGAGGUAACGGCUCACCUAGGCGACGAUACAUAGCCGACCUGAGAGGGUGAUCGGCCACACUGGGACUGAGACACGGCCCAGACUCCUACGGGAGGCAGCAGUAGGGAAUCUUCGGCAAUGGACGAAAGUCUGACCGAGCAACGCCGCGUGAGUGAAGAAGGUUUUCGGAUCGUAAAGCUCUGUUGUAAGAGAAGAACGGGUGUGAGAGUGGAAAGUUCACACUGUGACGGUAUCUUACCAGAAAGGGACGGCUAACUACGUG